CCGUCUUCAAAGUCCAACCACAACUCCUCCUUCCCCCGCCGUCUUUUAUGCCGACGCAUCCUACCCUCCUCUUGAAACAGGCCCGCACAAAUCCUUCCUCCCUCGCAUGUCCGUCGUCGCCGCCGCCGCCGCCAGCACCGGCCACCUCACCCCAGGCGCGGGACAGAUCUAGGAAUCAGGAGGGGAUGGACGGAGUAUGGCGAACAGACCGACGGGAUGUGCUCUCUCCUCCCGCUACCAAGGCCCGUGGGCGGGGCGCCCGACCUCUAGACGACGCCGGCGAUAACCAAGGACGGAUGUGCAUCCUGGCAUCUCAGCUCAAGAUGUGUCCAAUUCAUCUCUCCGUGAAGAGGAUUAGCUCCACGACGCCCGCGCCGAACAGCCGAUCAGGAAACCAUCUCCGCCUCCCUGCUUCUUCCCUUCUCUCUGGUUAUCCUGAGAUGGCCCGGCUAGGUGCCGGCCCGACGACACCUCCCCCGCCCAGGCCCUCCAUCGGCUCAAGAUCCGGGCCCCGCCGUGUUGCCGCUCCCAUCUCCCUGCAUCUUCCCGAGAUGGUCCGGCUGGGCGCUGCCCCAUGACCAAGCAUGUGCUGUCCAAGGAAGCCGGCUCCUCCACCCAAGCCUUCCUCUGCAAGGUCGGUGAGGACACCCUUCGUAUGAACCGAUCGUGAUAAUCAUGCACAGGUACACACAUUGACACAUACUCCCUCCGUCCGAAAAUACUUGUCUAGAAUAUCUCGACAAGUAUUUUCGGACGGAGGGAGUACAUGUUUUCCCCACUGAUUUAAUUCGAAUUCAGUUGUCCGUCUCCAUCUCCAAACGGAGCAGAGCCGUCCAGCACACAACGUGAUUUGCAGAUCUAAGGAGGAGGGUGAGGAGGCCGCUGGUGGGUAGGAUGAACAUCGCAGGGAACGAGCAUGCUAGCCGCCCGUCUCGACGUUAUAGAAUCUGAUAAUCUUCUUUUGGUUUUCUUAUAUGUCUGCAGUGGCACUAUGGUGGAUUGGAAUCAUGCCAUGAAGCAGAAGAAGAGGAGGUUUGUUCGCCAUCAAGCCAACCUUGCACUGCUGCACCACGUCUCGCAACAGUUAAGCUAGCUGUUUGUCCUCAAGCUAUUCUGUCUUCUAAUUGUAAGUGGCAAAUCGUAGAAGUGAAGUCCAUCAACAGCAUGGAUGAAAACAAGCUCUGGUAUAAAAUAAGUGAACAGGGACUGUUUUAGCCGUUCCAGAGGCUGUACGCACAUAUAAAUACUCAAGUACUCCCUUGACCGAAGCCCCAGCCCAAUUGCGUCAUUUCGUCCGUGCUCGACAUUGGUGUCUUGCCGUUCUGCCGGAGCCGUGGAAAUCUCACUGUUCUGCCAACCUGGCCGGAAUUUCUCCGUAGUGCCGACUUCAUUGGAAUUACAUCCACUCGUGUAGCCAAGGUACAUCGUUCAAACUGCUCGAGCAAUACUGAUUUGGAGUUGUUUUGGUCAAGCGGUUGAACUGAACCAUGCUACUGCACAGUAGCCAAAAAGAGAGUCAGUUUGUUUCCCUGACCCCUGUGAUCUGAAGCGGCUAAACUGAACAUGCUAUUACACAAUAGCCCAAAAUUGUCUGGUAGAUAUCAGUAUCAUCAUAUAAUUUUGUUUCUACAAUAUGUAAUAGGUAACCAGCAAUGUUGUUUUUAGUUUACAAGAAUGCUGAUGUUGUUUCAAUGCAUAUAUACUUACUGGAAUUAGUUUGAAUACAUAUACAACACCUUGAUUUUGAA